rnacentral:pre_miRNA from 1 species
CACCUACUCCCUCCGUUCGGAAUUACUUGUCACAGAAAUGGAUGUAUCUAGAACUAAAAUGCGUCUAGAUACAUCCAUUUCUACGACAAGUAAUUCCGAACGGAGGGAGUACAUU